GAAACAUUUAAAUGAACGCCGUCACAACAGGAGCGUCUUUAAACCGUUUACUUUUAUUUAUCAAAUACAUUCAUUAAUUAAAAAUGAACUAUUAUGACUAUCCACCUAUAUAUUUGUUUUUAAAAAUCUAGAAUAGGUGGUUCUUGUCCAAAAUUACUCAAAACCUGCAGUGCCACAAAAUGACAAGCAACAAGUUUGCCUUUACAAAUAGAAAAGAAAGAUGUUUUGAAAUACACAGGUGUUUGGAAUUUGGAAAAAGCAAGAAAACCGAUAUUAAACGAUAAGACUUUAAGAAUCGAAGAUGAACUUGCUCAAACGGCAGUGGCACCAUGACAGAUUACAACUAUAUAUGCCAACAUUUGCUUAACCCCAACAUGUAUCAAAACUCUUUAACUAGCAAACGUUCAUUUUUGCGACAUCGAACACUUAAAUAAGCAUGUAUGAACGUAUCAGUUUGUAACUCUCUUUGUAAAUUUAGCGUUACUUCGCUCAAAAUAGUUGGAUUGUUGUGUAGUAUUAACACAUACUACAUACACGCAUUUGUUGUAUUAAGAUUUGAAUCGGUACGCAGAGUAAAAGAGAUACUUGCUACUGUUCAUUCUGAAUCCUAUUAAUAAAUGAUGUUGAAGUUCAUACUGUCAAAUAUUUGUACAUUUUCAUCCUCCCCAUUCUUCCAAAUUCGCACUAUAGCAUUGAAAGCGGGCACAUAUUGUGAGGAUGUUGCUCUUAGAGAAAAAUGCAGAUGUAAAUACACCGAAGUACUAUCAACUUAACUUUUUAGAUAAGGUCUUUGUUGUAGAAACUUCUUUUAUUCGGACUGUUGACAUUUGCCAGGUCCGUUGGAUCACUAGACAUACAAAAAAAUAUUCUGUUAAAAUCGACAAGACACUAUAAGCACGUACCAGUGAAAGUAUAACGAUUUCACUUUUCCAAUAAGUAAAAAGCCUUUGUUUCUGUAAUUGUUUCAUUCUUACGAAUUCUAAUAGCUCGCUUACCACCUGAUAGUGUAC